AACCAACCACACGGGAGCGCACACGACAGUGCGCUGAGAGGACGGCUGACGGCCGUCGACCGUAGAACCUGUCCGGGUAAUGCCGGCGUAGGGAGUGAAAAUGACCGAUCU
rnacentral:ncRNA from 2 species